rnacentral:piRNA from 1 species
UCUUCACUUUUUCUAAAGGUU